rnacentral:rRNA from 1 species
UACGAAGGGGGCUAGCGUUGCUCGGAAUUACUGGGCGUAAAGCGUGUGUAGGCGGCUCUGCAAGUCGGAUGUGAAAGCCCCGGGCUCAACCCGGGAAGUGCACUCGAUACUGCAGAGCUAGAGUGUGGGAGAGGUUGGUGGAAUUCUCGGUGUAGAGGUGAAAUUCGUAGAUAUCGAGAGGAACACCGGCGGCGAAGGCGGCCAACUGGACCACUACUGACGCUGAGACACGAAAGCGUGGGGAGCAAACAGG